rnacentral:rRNA from 1 species
GACGAACGCUGGCGGCGUGCUUAACACAUGCAAGUCGAACGGAAAGGCCCUGCUUUUGUGGGGUGCUCGAGUGGCGAACGGGUGUGUAACACGUGAGUAACCUGCCCUUGACUUUGGGAUAACUUCAGGAAACUGGGGCUAAUACCGGAUAGGAGCUCCUGAUGCAUGGUGGGGGUUGGAAAGUUUCGGCGGUUGGGGAUGGACUCGCGGCUUAUCAGCUUGUUGGUGGGGUAGUGGCUUACCAAGGCUUUGACGGGUAGCCGGCCUGAGAGGGUGAACGGCCACAUUGGGACUGAGAUACGGCCCAGACUCCUACGGGAGGCAGCAGUGGGGAAUAUUGCACAAUGGGCGGAAGCCUGAUGCAGCAACGCCGCGUGCGGGAUGACGGCCUUCGGGUUGUAAACCGCUUUCGCCUGUGACGAAGCGUGAGUGACGGUAAUGGGUAAAGAAGCACCGGCUAACUACGUG